GGCAGGCCUAAUACAUGCAAGUCGAACGGGUCGCAAGACCAGUGGCAAACGGGUGCGUAACGCGUAAGCAACCUGCCUCAUACUGGGGGAUAGCCCGGCGAAAGCUGGGGUAAACCCGCACGGUCCCACGGAGUCACCUGGCUUUAUGGGUAAACAUUUAUGGGUAUGAGAGGGGCUUGCGUCUGAUUAGUUAGUUGGCAGGGUAACGGCCUACCAAGACGAUGAUCAAUAAGGGUUCUGAGAGGAUUGGCCCCCACAUGGGUACUGAGAUACGGACCCAACUCCUACGGGAGGCAGCAGUAGGGAAUAUUGGGCAAUGGAGGCAACUCUGACCCAGCCAUGCCGCGUGCAGGAUGAAGGCGCUCAGCGUUGUAAACUGCUUUUAUUGGUGAAGAACAGCAGUGGUGCGCCAUUGUGUGACUGGUAGCCAAGGAAUAAGCACCGGCUAACUCCGUGCCAGCAGCCGCGGUAAUACGGAGGGUGCAAGCGUUGUCCGGAUUUAUUGGGUUUAAAGGGUGCGUAGGUGGUUGUUUAAGUCUGAUUUGAAAGCAGGCGGCUUAACCGUCUGAUGUGGUUGGAAACUGAACAACUUGAAUGGGUUGGCGGUAGCCGGAAUGGGUCAUGUAGCGGUGAAAUGCAUAGAUAUGACCCGGAACACCGAUUGCGAAGGCAGGCUACUACGACUUGAUUGACACUGAGGCACGAGAGCAUGGA
rnacentral:rRNA from 1 species